AGCGAACGCUGGCGGCAGGCUCAACACAUGCAAGUCGAGCGGGUCCUUCGGGGUCAGCGGCGGACGGGUGAGUAACGCGUGGGAACGUGCCUUCUGGUUCGGAAUAACCCUGGGAAACUAGGGCUAAUACCGGAUACGCCCUUUUGGGGAAAGGUUUACUGCCGGAAGAUCGGCCCGCGUCUGAUUAGCUAGUUGGUGGGGUAACGGCCUACCAAGGCGACGAUCAGUAGCUGGUCUGAGAGGAUGAUCAGCAACACGGGGACUGAGACACGGCCCAGACUCCUACGGGAGGAAGCAGUGGGGAAUAUUGGACAAUGGGCGCAAGCCUGAUCCAGCCAUGCCGCGUGAGUGAUGAAGGCCUUAGGGUUGUAAAGCUCUUUUAUCCGGGACGAUAAUGCCGGUACCGGAGGAAUAAGCCCCGGCUAACUUCGUGCCAGCCGCCGCAGUAA
rnacentral:rRNA from 1 species